UACGUAGGGGGCAAGCGUUGUCCGGAUUUAUUGGGCGUAAAGAGCGUGUAGGCGGCCAUACAGGUCCGUUGUGAAAACUGGAGGCUUAACCUCCAGACGUCGAUGGAAACCGUAUGGCUAGAGUCCGGAAGAGGAGAGUGGAAUUCCUGGUGUAGCGGUGAAAUGCGCAGAUAUCAGGAAGAACACCCGUGGCGAAGGCGGCAUCCUGGACCGGUAUUGACGCUGAGGCGCGAAAGCUAGGGGAGCAAACGGG
rnacentral:rRNA from 1 species